UAAAAAGUUACUCAAGCGCACACAACGGAUGCCUUGACAUGUAAUACCGAAGAAGGACGUGAUGAGCUGCGAAAAGCUCCGGGGAACAGCCAAAUAUGUUUUGAUCCGGAGAUGUCCGAAUGGGGAAACCCGGCUAGAGUAAUGUCUAGUCACCGCUAUCUGAAUAUAUAGGAUAGUGAGUAGGUAACCGCCUGAACUGAAACAUCUUAGUAGGGCGAGGAAGAGAAAGUAAACAACGAUUCCGGUAGUAGUGGCGAGCGAAUCCGGAACAGCCCAAACCUAUUUUGCUUUUGCCUGGUAAUUUAUUACUGGCAAAUAAGUUGGUAGACGAAUGUAAAUUAGGGGUUGUGACAUUGCAAACAUCCUUGUGUGGGAGUCCGCUUCUGCGGGAGUCCACACGAGGCAGCUAGAUCUACCAGUGUCUAGCAUAAGGUUAGAAAUUGAUGAGGCGAGCAGAAGCAGUUGGAAAGCUGCGCCAUAGACGGUGAUAGCCCGGUACGCCAAGUUUCAUCAACCUUAUAUUUGCAAAGUGUCUUGCGAGCAAGACACAGACGAAAGAGACAAGAGACAAGAGACAAGAGUGGAAAAUGCCAGCAGCGUAGCUGCUGUUUUAUAAACUCGGCAGAGCCGAGGCAAGCUACUCUUAACUCGUGACUCUUAACUCAUGACUCUGUGCCUCGCUUGCGAGACACGGUUGUCGAGUAGGUCGGGGCACGUGAAAUCCUGACUGAAUCUGGGGGGUCCACCCUCCAAGGCUAAAUAUAUUACAUGAUCGAUAGAGAACAAGUACCGCGAGGGAAAGGUUAAAAGAACCCCGGGAGGGGAGUGAAAUAGAACCUGAAAUUGUGUGCGUACAAGGAGUCGGAGCGGGCUCUUCACUGCGUGAAGAGCAUGUAACCAUUGACCUGUAACAUGUCACAUAGAAUUACCAUGUAACUUGUAACGUUUGAACCUUAAUCGUUACACAGUAAUGGGUAAUCCAUUGUGACAGGUGACAGGAUAAAGGCUAAUUGCUCAUCAUUAGUGAUGAGCUCGUGACGGCGUGCUUUUUGUAGAACGAUCCAACGAGUUAUUUGCUACGGCAAGCUUAAGUCAUAUGACGUAAGCCAAGCGAAAGCGAGUCUGAAUAGGGCAUUCAGUCGUAGUAAAUAGACCCGAAACCAGGUGACCUAACCAUGGGCAGGUUGAAGCGUCGGUAAAACGACGUGGAGGACCGAACCGUAGCGAGUUGCAACACGCCCGGAUGACCUGUGGUUAGCGGUGAAAUGCCAAUCGAACCUGGAGAUAGCUGGUUCUCCUCGAAAUAGCUUUAGGGCUAGCGUUGUACGGUAGCUGGUAGGGGUAGAGCUCUGUUUCGGACUGGGGGUCGCAAGAUUACCCACCCUUGACAAACUACGAAUACUAUCAGUGGAACUACAGCAGUUAGAACGGCGGGGCUAAGCUCGUCGCUCAAAAGGGAAACAGCCCAGAUCACCAUCUAAGGUCCCUCAGUCUAUGCUAAGUGGGAAACGAGGUGGGGUUUCUUAAACAACUAGGAUGUUGGCUUAGAAGCAGCCAUUCAUUUAAAGAGUGCGUAACAGCUCACUAGUCAAGAGACCCUGCGCGGAAAAUGUAACGGGGCUAAGCAUAGCACCGAAGAUGUGAGAGCGAUGCAUGGCAUCGCGAUUACCAUGUAACUUGUAACAUGUCACCUAGGAUUACCCUGUAACAUGUAACCAUUGAGCUUCAAUCGUUACACGCCAAUCGGUAAUUCAUUGUGACAUGAUAAUUGUGACAUGAUAAUUGCAAUGCUGUGCAUUGCUCGGUAGAGGAGCGUUCCUCUCAGCGUUGAAGUUGAACCGUGAGGUUUGGUGGAGCGUGAGGAAGUGAGAAUGUUGGAAUGAGUAACCAUAAGGCAGGUGAGAAUCCUGCCCACCGAAAGAGCAAGGUUUCCUGGGCCACGGUAAUCGUCCCAGGGUUAGUCGGUCCUAAGCCGAGGCGCGUAGCGUAGGCGAUGGACAACGGGUUAAUAUUCCCGUACUGGCAUGUAUUUGUUAUAUGUGCGCGGCAUAGUAGUAGGAGCGGAUUCAUGGUUAUAUCCGUCUAAGUACGAGAAAUGCGUACGAAUGAAACGACCAUCAGGUUGAAUUCUUAUGAAAGUGCUGACUAGAAAAGCAAUAUAACGCGUGGUACAUGCCAUCCGUACCGCAAACCGACACAGGUGCUCAGGUCGAGAAGACCAAGGUGUACGAGUGAUUCUUCGUUAAGGAACUCGGCAAACAAGCGACCGUAACUUCGGGAUAAGGUCUGCCCCCUCACUCUGUCUACGACAGGUGAGUUAGCCAGUUUUCUUUUUGAAAACCUGUCUCAGCAUGUAAGUUUAUAACUUCUUACAGUGAGACAAAUCGAACAAUUUUUAGAGACAUAUCAAUUAGAAAGCUGACCUCUAAAGCUCACUAUGCGAAAACUGUUCUUAUAGCCCAGAAGGGAAAAAGAGCAGCCCGAGCAAAUGUAUUCCAUUUGCCCGGAGCGAUGAGAAAAAACCGUAGGUUUUGUCUCAUUAGCGUAGCUAGAGUGAGGGGGCCGCAGCUAAAGAACCCAUGCAACUGUUUACCAAAAACAUAGGUCUGUGCUAACACGAAAGUGGAUGUAUACGGGCUGACGCCUGCCCAGUGCUGGAAGGUUAAGGGGAGUUGUGUAUGCAGCGAACUGAAGCCCCAGUGAACGGCGGCGGUAACUAUAACCGUCCUAAGGUAGCGAAAUUCCUUGUCAGGUAAGUUCUGACCCGCACGAAUGGCGUAAUGAUAUGGGUACUGUCUCAACGAAGAGCUCGGUGAAAGUGCAUUGACGGUAAAGAUGCCGUCUGUCCGCAGCAGGACGAAAAGACCCCGUGCAGCUUCACUACAGCUUGGCAUUGAGCCGGGUUAUAACAUGUGUAGUAUAGGUGAGAGGCUUUGAAGCUGAGACGCUAGUCUUGGUGGAGCCACCAGUGAAAUAUCACCCUUGUUAUGAUCUUGUUCUUACGGGAGCCGCAAAUUGUAUACAAUUUGGGUUGUGUCACAUGUAACCUGUAACGUGUCACAUUGGAUGACCAUGUAACCUGUAACGAUUGGAACUCAAUUGUUACAUGGUAAUUGUUAAUUCAUGCGUGACAGGUGACAGGAUAAUUGGUACACAAGCCGAAGAAAUUGCAUGCAAUUUCCGGCUUCCGGACCGUGUCUGGUGGGUAGUUUAACUGGGGCGGUUGCCUCCUAAAGAGUAUCGGAGGCGUUCAAAGGUUAGCUAACUACGGAUGGAAAUCGUAGUGAUAGUGUAUACGCAUAAGCUAGCUUGACUGUGAGGCCUACAAGCCGAGCAGGGACGAAAGUCGGAGUAAGUUUUCCGCUGUCAGUACAUUUGUACAAGAGUGUGGUAUCGGCAGCGCUUUCGGAUAAAAGUUACGCCGGGGAUAACAGGCUUAUAGCAUCCAAUAGUUCACAUAGACGAUGCUGUUUGGCACCUCGAUGUCGGCUCAUCUCAUCCUGGGGCUGGAGCAGGUCCCAAGGGUCCGGCUGUUCGCCGGUUAAAGAGGUACGUGAGCUGGGUUCAGAACGUCGUGAGACAGUUCGGUUUAUAUCCGCUGUGGACGCAAGGAAAUUUGAGAGGAUCUACCCCUAGUACGAGAGGACCGGGGCGGACGCACCGCUGGUGUAUCAGUUGUUCUACCAAGGGCAUUGCUGAGUAGCUAUCGUGCGGAAUAGAUAAGCGCUGAAAGCAUAUUAAGCGCGAAACUAGCCUCAAGAUUAGAUUUCCCCAUGAUCCCCCAGAAAGACUAUCUGGUUGAUAGGCGCAAGGUGUAAGCAUGGCAACAUGUGUAGCCGAAGCGUACUAAUAGGGACAUUGACUUUUUACG
rnacentral:rRNA from 1 species